GUGAGUGAUUGUGAACCAAAACCAGGAGUGGAGACUAUACAGAGAUACGGUCAGAACUGCUGUGGUUUGUUCAUCCUGCCUUCCAAGAAUAGGAUAAAAAGAGAUUAAGACGUGGGUAAAAAAAAAAAAAAAGAGUUCUGGGCCAGAACACCCUGCCCGACUGCCUUGCCCACAAGCCCGCUUGCCAGCCUGUUCUAAAGACUGCAUGCAACCAAGCUUGCCCGCGAAAUAGACAGCCUGAACGCCACAUUUUUUGCAACUCCAUACAAAAAUAAUGUCCAGCACAUCAUCUUCAAGUGAGGCCGGGAGCUCUUCUCCAACACGACGUCGUCGACAUGAUACGUCAUCGUCUGUGGAGGAGAUUACCUUCAGGCCAAGGGACGGCAGGAGAUGAGGAAGUUGGGGGUGGAGAACAAAUGUUUCAAACAUUAUGUUAAAAAUUGCAUGUUUUUUUAGGGUUUCCUGAGGCUCCACUAGAACGGAUGAGGAGGACAUCUGCGGUUUUUGGAUCGACAACGACCUCUUCAUCCAGAUGGUGGAGGACCGACCACCAUUGUGGGACCACACAGACCGCUGCCACGCAGACCAUCACGCAACCUGGCUCCUCUGGCUCCAGAUUUGUGAGGAGAUAGUGCCUAAUUGGGAUGACCUCAGUGAAAGUCAACAGGAUGAGUGUUUGGCGGUCAAUGAGGGACCGCUAUAAGAAGGACUUCAACGAGGAGGUUAAGCGCCCGAGUUGGUCUGGAGGAACCUGCAAGCGGCCGUACAGAUAUUCGGCUGCAUUGGGGUACCUAAAAGGGAGCUGCGAAGCACAUCAAGCAGUAUUUGGGCACCCGAAGCUCCUCGUGAAGUCCAAGCUCCUGUCGCACCGGAGGCGGUCCUUGAAGAGCCGCCCACCGCGGGUUCCUCUCGUCCUACUCCAACAGCUGCUCGGGACCUCAAUGUUCACCUACAUGUGCCCUCUGGCGACGCAAUGAUGGCUACAUUAGCACCGCUUUUUGAGGCCCUAAUACGUCACCAGAGGACAGGUAGGAGCAGUCAGACGGGCUACGAGGAUCUCACAAGGCUCGAUAACGAGUCCUUGAUGGGAUUCACUAAUAGAGUUGCCGCUUUGGAAAACACUGUGCGACGUCUGCAGGGGGGGCGGUGCUGACAUCGCAGUUGGGCCCAGUGCAUCACUAUUGGUUAUCGUUGCUCUCCGUGAUGGAACUGUUUACGCCCGACCAGCUAUUUGAGGCCUGAAGACAGGUGGACAGCGUCUUCUGGCAAGUACAGCACUGCCCCACAUCCCUUCCUCUGCCCCAGACCUAUCCCCCAUCCAUGCCCUAUUCCCCAUCACAACCUCAACAUCCCCCUUCCCAACCUCCUCAGCUCCCAUCCCCAUUCACCAACCCCCAAGCUCUUUACUCAACACUUUUCUCCCUCUCCUCCUCAUUACUUUCCUCCAACCACUUUCACUACUCCCUCAACUCUUGCUCGGUCAAUUCCUUUUACUGUUCCUACCCCAUCCUCAAGAUUGCACACUCUCUCUGUUGUACUUCCCACAACACACAGUUAUAUGUCCACAGGGGCACAAGAACAGGACAGAGGGGGACCAAACUGUGUUCUGUCCUCCACCCCAAACCUUCUACUCCUACAAGGCCUUCAUAUAGGCAUUUGUAGUUUGUUUCUUUUUUAUUUAUAUUUUUUUACAAAAAUUGUAUUUAAAAAUAAAAGUUAUUUUGUUUUGAAAAUGUUUUUGUUUUUGUCUCACCAAUACUUGUGUCGCUCCAUCAGCACUGGGAGAUAAACAAUAGUGUGUAUAACAGGCCUGACAAUCUCCCAGCGACAGUGAAGCGACACAAGUAUUUGUCGCUAGAGUAGGCGUACGUCUAUAGGCGAAUUGUGUCACUUUAUUGAUGGACCGCCUUAUAUUUGCUAUGCUCACAACCAUUUCAGUAUCUUUGUACUGCUAAUUCCGGGAAUGGUAUAUUGCUAUGUCUUGUGGUUGUAUGCAUUUGC